rnacentral:rRNA from 5 species
UGGGCGUUAAGUUGCAGGGUAUAGACCCGAAACCCGGUGAUCUAGCCAUGGGCAGGUUGAAGGUUGGGUAACACUAACUGGAGGACCGAACCGACUAAUGUUGAAAAAUUAGCGGAUGACCUGUGGCUGGGGGUGAAAGGCCAAUCAAACCGGGAGAUAGCUGGUUCUCCCCGAAAGCUAUUUAGGUAGCGCCUCGUGAAUUCAUCUCCGGGGGUAGAGCACUGUUUCGGCUAGGGGGCCAUCCCGGCUUACCAACCCGAUGCAAACUGCGAAUACCGGAGAAUGUUAUCACGGGAGACACACGGCGGGUGCUAACGUCCGUCGUGAAGAGGGAAACAACCCAGACCGCCAGCUAAGGUCCCAAAGUCAUGGUUAAGUGGGAAACGAUGUGGGAAGGCCCAGACAGCCAGGAUGUUGGCUUAGAAGCAGCCAUCAUUUAAAGAAAGCGUAAUAGCUCACUGGUCGAGUCGGCCUGCGCGGAAGAUGUAACGGGGCUAAACCAUGCACCGAAGCUGCGGCAGCGAACGUAUCACCCAAGACAACUUUACGGAGUUGACGAUUGACGGAGCGAAGCGACGUCAAAGCGUUCAUUAAAGUCGAGUUGGCUUAGGGAUACGUUCGUUGGGUAGGGGAGCGUUCUGUAAGCCUGUGAAGGUGUGUCGUGAGGCAUGCUGGAGGUAUCAGAAGUGCGAAUGCUGACAUAAGUAACGAUAAAGCGGGUGAAAAGCCCGCUCGCCGGAAGACCAAGGGUUCCUGUCCAACGUUAAUCGGGGCAGGGUGAGUCGACCCCUAAGGCGAGGCCGAAAGGCGUAGUCGAUGGGAAACGGGUUAAUAUUCCCGUACUUGGUGUUACUGCGAAGGGGGGACGGAGAAGGCUAUGUUGGCCGGGCGACGGUUGUCCCGGUUUAAGCGUGUAGGUGUGUGUUCCAGGUAAAUCCGGUUCACUUUAACACUGAGGCGUGACGACGAGGCACUACGGUGCUGAAGCAACAAAUGCCCUGCUUCCAGGAAAA